UCCGGGCCUCUGCUACUAGUGAGGGGAAGAUGGCGGCCGCAACUGUGGUGGUUCCUGUAGAGUGGAUAAAGAACUGGGAGAAAUCAGGGAGAGGCGAAUUUUUGCAUUUAUGCCGGAUCCUCAGUGAAAAUAAAAGCCAUGAUAGUUCCACUUAUAGAGAUUUCCAGCAAGCUCUUUAUGAGUUAUCAUACCAUGUCAUUAAAGGAAAUCUAAAGCAUGAACAGGCAUUUAAUGUUCUUAGUGACAUUAGUGAAUUUCGUGAGGAUAUGCCCUCUAUUCUUGCUGACGUAUUCUGCAUAUUAGAUAUUGAGACAAAUUGUUUAGAAGAAAAAAGCAAGAGAGACUAUUUUACACAAUUGGUAUUAGCAUGUUUGUAUUUAGUUUCAGACACAGUUCUAAAGGAACGCUUGGAUCCAGAAACAUUGGAAUCAUUAGGGCUUAUCAAACAAUCACAGCAAUUCAAUCAAAAGUCAGUUAAAAUCAAGACAAAACUCUUUUAUAAACAGCAAAAAUUCAAUUUGUUAAGAGAAGAGAAUGAAGGUUAUGCCAAGCUGAUUGCUGAAUUGGGGCAAGAUUUAUCUGGAAAUAUUACUAGUGAUCUAAUCUUAGAAAAUAUCAAAUCUUUAAUAGGAUGCUUUAAUCUGGAUCCCAAUAGAGUUCUGGAUGUCAUUUUAGAAGUGUUUGAAUGCAGGCCAGAACACGAUGACUUCUUUAUAUCUUUAUUAGAAUCUUACAUGAGUAUGUGUGAACCGCAAACACUGUGUCAUAUUCUUGGGUUCAAAUUCAAGUUUUACCAGGAACCAAAUGGAGAGACUCCUUCAUCUUUAUACAGAGUUGCAGCAGUACUUCUACAAUUUAAUCUUAUUGAUUUAGAUGAUCUUUAUGUACAUCUUCUUCCAGCUGAUAGUUGCAUUAUGGAUGAACACAAACGAGAAAUUGUAGAAGCUAAGCAAAUUGUUAGAAAACUUACGAUGGUUGUAUUGUCUUCUGAUAAAAUUGAUGAGCGAGAGAAAGAAAAGGAAAAAGAAGAGGAGAAAGUGGAAAAGCCACCUGACAACCAAAAGCUUGGAUUGUUGGAAGCCUUGUUAAAGAUUGGUGAUUGGCAGCAUGCACAGAACAUUAUGGAUCAGAUGCCUCCAUACUAUGCAGCUUCACAUAAGCUAAUAGCCCUUGCUAUUUGCAAGCUUAUUCAUAUAACUAUUGAGCCUCUCUACCGACGAGUUGGCGUUCCUAAAGGUGCUAAAGGCUCACCUGUUAAUGCUUUGCAAAAUAAGAGAGCACCAAAACAAGCAGAGAGCUUUGAAGAUUUGAGGAGAGACGUCUUCAAUAUGUUCUGCUACCUUGGUCCCCACCUUUCUCAUGAUCCCAUUUUAUUUGCAAAAGUGGUGCGCAUAGGCAAGUCAUUUAUGAAGGAGUUUCAGUCUGAUGGAAGCAAGCAGGAAGAUAAAGAGAAAACGGAAGUUAUCCUUAGCUGUUUGCUUAGCAUUACUGACCAGGUAUUACUUCCAUCUCUUUCUUUGAUGGACUGCAAUGCUUGUAUGUCUGAGGAACUGUGGGGAAUGUUUAAGACAUUUCCAUAUCAGCAUAGAUAUCGUCUGUAUGGCCAGUGGAAGAACGAAACUUACAACAGUCACCCACUUUUAGUAAAAGUUAAAGCUCAAACAAUAGACAGAGCCAAAUAUAUUAUGAAGCGUCUAACCAAGGAAAAUGUGAAGCCUUCUGGAAGACAAAUUGGGAAGUUGAGCCACAGCAAUCCAACCAUUUUGUUUGAUUAUGUAUGUUUUGAGAUUUUGUCACAAAUACAGAAGUAUGAUAACUUAAUAACACCUGUAGUAGAUUCAUUGAAAUACCUCACUUCAUUGAAUUAUGAUGUCUUGGCCUAUUGUAUCAUUGAAGCUUUAGCUAAUCCAGAAAAGGAGAGAAUGAAACACGAUGACACAACAAUCUCAAGCUGGCUUCAGAGUCUGGCUAGUUUCUGUGGUGCAGUUUUUCGUAAAUAUCCAAUUGAUCUUGCUGGUCUUCUUCAAUAUGUGGCUAAUCAGCUAAAGGCAGGCAAAAGUUUUGACCUGCUUAUAUUGAAAGAAGUGGUACAAAAAAUGGCAGGAAUAGAAAUUACGGAAGAAAUGACAAUGGAGCAGCUAGAGGCCAUGACUGGUGGAGAGCAACUAAAAGCUGAGGGUGGUUAUUUUGGCCAGAUAAGAAACACUAAAAAAUCUUCCCAGAGAUUAAAGGAUGCACUAUUAGACCAUGAUCUUGCUCUUCCUCUCUGUUUGCUUAUGGCUCAGCAGAGGAAUGGGGUAAUCUUUCAGGAAGGUGGAGAGAAACAUUUGAAACUUGUGGGAAAACUCUAUGAUCAGUGUCAUGAUACCCUGGUACAAUUUGGUGGGUUUUUAGCAUCUAAUCUAAGCACAGAAGAUUAUAUAAAGCGAGUGCCUUCAAUUGAUGUGCUCUGUAAUGAAUUUCACACACCCCAUGAUGCAGCAUUUUUCCUGUCUAGACCAAUGUAUGCACAUCAUAUUUCGUCAAAGUAUGAUGAACUUAAAAAAUCAGAGAAGGGAAGUAAACAGCAACAUAAAGUUCAUAAGUACAUUACAUCAUGUGAAAUGGUGAUGGCUCCUGUCCAUGAAGCAGUGGUUUCCUUACAUGUUUCCAAGGUCUGGGAUGACAUCAGCCCUCAAUUCUAUGCCACAUUCUGGUCGUUGACAAUGUAUGACCUUGCAGUUCCACAUACCAGCUAUGAACGGGAAGUCAAUAAACUUAAAGUCCAGAUGAAAGCAAUUGAUGACAAUCAGGAAAUGCCUCCAAAUAAAAAGAAAAAAGAGAAGGAGCGAUGUACUGCCCUUCAGGACAAGCUUCUUGAAGAAGAAAAGAAACAGAUGGAACAUGUACAGCGAGUUCUACAGAGACUGAAACUGGAAAAGGACAACUGGCUUUUAGCAAAAUCUACCAAAAAUGAGACCAUCACAAAAUUUCUACAGCUGUGUAUAUUUCCUCGAUGUAUUUUUUCAGCAAUUGAUGCUGUUUACUGUGCUCGUUUUGUUGAAUUGGUACAUCAACAGAAAACUCCAAAUUUUUCCACACUUCUUUGCUAUGAUCGAGUUUUCUCUGAUAUAAUUUACACAGUUGCAAGCUGUACUGAAAAUGAAGCUAGUCGAUAUGGGAGAUUCCUAUGCUGCAUGUUAGAGACCGUGACCAGGUGGCACAGUGAUAGAGCCACGUAUGAAAAGGAAUGUGGGAAUUAUCCAGGAUUUCUUACUAUAUUACGGGCAACUGGAUUUGAUGGUGGAAAUAAAGCUGAUCAGUUAGAUUAUGAAAAUUUUCGACAUGUUGUACAUAAAUGGCAUUACAAACUAACCAAGGCAUCGGUACAUUGCCUUGAAACAGGCGAAUAUACUCACAUCAGGAAUAUCUUGAUUGUGCUAACAAAAAUACUUCCUUGGUACCCAAAAGUUUUGAAUCUUGGUCAGGCUUUGGAAAGAAGAGUGCAUAAAAUCUGCCAAGAGGAAAAAGAGAAGAGGCCAGAUCUAUAUGCAUUGGCUAUGGGCUACUCUGGGCAGUUGAAAAGUAGAAAGUCAUACAUGAUACCUGAAAAUGAAUUUCAUCACAAAGACCCCCCUCCGAGGAAUGCAGUUGCCAGUGUACAAAAUGGGCCUGGUGGUGGGCCUUCUUCUUCAUCGAUAGGAAGUGCAUCUAAAUCAGAUGAAAGCAGUACUGAGGAGACUGAUAAAUCAAGGGAGAGAUCUCAGUGUGGUGUGAAAGCUGUUAAUAAAGCUUCUAAUGCCACACCGAAAGGGAAUUCAAGCAAUGGAAAUAGUGGCUCUAACAGCAGCAAAACUGUUAAAGAAAAUGACAAAGAAAAAGGGAAAGAGAAAGAAAAAGAGAAAAAAGAAAAGACUCCAGCUACUACUCCAGAGGCCAGAGUACUUGGUAAAGAUGGUAAAGAAAAACCGAAGGAAGAACGACCAAACAAAGAUGAAAAAGCAAGAGAAACGAAGGAAAGAACACCUAAGUCUGACAAAGAGAAAGAAAAAUUCAAGAAGGAAGAAAAGGCUAAAGAUGAGAAAUUCAAGACCACUGUACCCAACGUAGAAUCAAAGUCGACACAAGAAAAGGAAAGGGAGAAGGAACCAUCCAGAGAAAGAGAUAUAGCAAAGGAAAUGAAAUCAAAGGAAAAUGUUAAAGGAGGAGAGAAAACACCAGUUUCUGGGUCCUUGAAGUCACCUGUUCCCCGAUCAGAUAUUGCAGAGCCUGAAAGGGAACAGAAACGUCGUAAAAUUGAUACCCACCCUUCUCCAUCACAUUCCUCAACAGUAAAGGUUACAGCCAUACUUCCCAAAGUUCCUCUGGGUUCUGAGAACUAUGCCAGCUCACCUGUCAUCUCCAUUCAUUUUCUACAGGACAAUCUCAUCGAACUCAAGGAGUCUUCAGCAAAGCUCUACAUUAAUCAUACUCCUCCACCACUGUCCAAGAGUAAGGAGAGAGAAAUGGACAAGAAAGAUUUGGACAAGUCGAGGGAAAGAUCCAGAGAAAGAGAAAAAAAAGAUGAAAAGGACAGGAAGGAACGGAAAAGGGAUCACUCAAACAAUGACCGAGAAGUGCCACCGGACUUAACCAAGAGGCGGAAAGAGGAAAAUGGAACAAUGGGGGUUUCAAAACACAAAAGUGAAAGCCCAUGUGAGUCUCCAUAUCCAAAUGAGAAAGACAAGGAAAAAAAUAAGUCAAAAUCUUCAGGCAAAGAAAAAAGCGGCGACUCAUUUAAAUCUGAAAAAAUGGAUAAAAUCUCCUCCGGUGGCAAAAAGGAGUCCAGGCAUGAUAAAGAAAAGAUAGAAAAGAAAGAGAAACGGGACAGUUCAGGAGGAAAGGAAGAGAAGAAACAUCAUAAGUCCUCGGACAAGCACAGAUAAUGAAGACUUUCAAUCAAGAUUCUACAGAAAGGAGAGCUACUACACAUGUUACAUUUCCAUGAUUCAAAGAUGUCAUUAAUUGGUAUGGACAGACCCCUAAGCUGAAAGUCUCCCAGAGGAGGAUGCCAAAGCUCCAUGCGUCACUCUCAGAACGAUAUCUCCCAUAACUAAGAGCUUCUGGUGCUGUCCAUUUAAUGGAAAUCUGCUUUAAAUCAGAAGAUGAAUACACACCACCAUCCUCUUGACGAGACAUUCCAAAGUCACUGAUUUUCAGAACAUUACUUUCACCUCCAGGCAGUUUCUUGCAGCAAGGUCCCUGUGUAUACAAUUUUUACUCGAGAUUCGCCAUCCAGAAGCAGCAUCUAAUGAAAAUUUCACUGUUUUAGUUCAUCCUUCUUUCUCAGAAAGGAGAGGAAAACGCCUCCUGGAACCAGUACCUUAAUUAUGUAGAUAGGCUGUAUUUGUGUGCAAACUAUAAGUUUGACGAUAUUGGGAUGAUUAUAUUGUUUGAGGAUUUUGGCUUCUUGUAAAAAUUUUAAUUUCAGUUCCUGUGAAAGACCAUCUUCACAUGUUUUAACAGCAAUAGCAGUUUUAUCCUUCAGUGUGCCCUUAAAUACGUCAUCAAAAUUUCCCUUGCCCAGUAAUUGUGACAUCUUCAUGAUUCUGAACUCAUUUUUUUAUUCUAGUUAUGGCCAUACUGAUAAUACCAUGAUACUCUUUAUUGGAACAUUGACUUUUUUUGCAGUUAAAAAAUUGAGAUAAAAUCCAUGACAUAAAAUUUGCCAUUUUGAAGUGUUUUUUAGUAUAUUCACUAUGUUGUAACCAUCACCACUAAUUCCAGAACAUUUCCAUCAGCCUGGAAACAGACUCCACACCUGUUAGCAGUCACUCCCAAUUCUCUUUCCCCCAGCCCCUGGAAACGACUAAUGUAUUUUCUGUCUCUAUGGAUUUGCCUGUUUGGGACAUUUCAUAAAAAUGGAAUCAUGCAAUACGUGGCCUUUUGUGUCUGGCUU